AAGUCGUAACAAGGUUUCCGUAGGUGAACCUGCGGAAGGAUCAUUAACACGUAUCCAACGUUAAACCCCCCGUGCACACAGAGACCAGCUCCCCUCAAUUUCGGUCUUUUGGCAAUCUCUGGUAAAUCAUCGCCGAACAGUUUUGAUUCAGAGACAUCCAAAGGGCCGGGGUAGGGUAUUGAAGUAGUUGUCCCAUGCAAGCAGCCUGGUUUCUUGGAAGCAGAAAGUGUGAUAGAAGAUGUCGGAGAACGGACCGAGUGGUAGUUCGAAGAUGACUUCUGUCGCGCGCUGUGAAAAAGAAGACGCUUUACGAAUCACUGAUCACCCCGACAGUCGCAGACGCGGGUAGGGAUACGUCCUUACCAAAAAAUAAAUACUUGAACAACUGUUAACAAUGGAUAUCUUGGUUCUC
rnacentral:misc_RNA from 1 species